AACAAUUGUGAGCUUAUAUUUGAAUCCACAGUGCUUAGCAAUUUCUGUAGCUAGGUCCACACAAUAGCCCUCAUAUCGAUCAUUUCCUUCAAGCAUUUCAUGAUUUUUCUUCAUCAUAACAUAUGGGGACUCCAAAAUAGUGGUGACAAUAAUAGUCUUAUUUUCUAGUCCUGAAGAUUCAUUUCCAAGAGGGCCAUCAAGUGGAUUCACAACCAUUUUGUCCACUUCACUCCAAUAUCCAAUCUUCCGAGGGCCAGUACUUUUGAGUUCCAUGACAUUUAUCGUAAAAUUGAUUCUCUUUCCAUUCUGAUCAAACUUUAUAUUCCCUGUUAGACCUUCC
rnacentral:lncRNA from 1 species